GUGGGGAAUAUUGGACAAUGGGCGCAAGCCUGAUCCAGCAAUGCCGCGUGGGUGAAGAAGGUCUUCGGAUCGUAAAGCCCUUUCGACAGGGACGAUGAUGACGGUACCUGUAGAAGAAGCCCCGGCUAACUUCGUGCCAGCAGCCGCGGUAAUACGAAGGGGGCUAGCGUUACUCGGAAUUACUGGGCGUAACGGGCGCGUAGGCGGCUCUGUUAGUCAGGCGUGAAAUUCCUGGGCUUAACCUGGGGACUGCGCUUGAUACUGCAGGGCUUGAGGACGAGAGAGGGUGGUGGAAUUCCCAGUGUAGAGGUGAAAUUCGUAGAUAUUGGGAAGAACACCGGUGGCGAAGGCGACCACCUGGCUCGGUUCUGACGCUGAGGCGCGACAGCGUGGGGAGCAAACAGGAUUAGAAACCCGUGUAGUCC
rnacentral:rRNA from 1 species